UACGGAGGAUGCGAGCGUUAUCCGGAUUUAUUGGGUUUAAAGGGAGCGUAGACGGUCGUUUAAGUCAGCUGUGAAAUGGUGCGGCUCAACCGUAGCACUGCAGUUGAAACUGGACGGCUUGAGUGUAGUUGAGGCAGGCGGAACUCGUGGUGUAGCGGUGAAAUGCUUAGAUAUCACGAAGAACCCCGAUUGCGAAGGCAGCCUGCUAAGCUGCAACUGACGUUGAUGCUCGAAAGUGUGGGUAUCAAACAGG
rnacentral:rRNA from 1 species